rnacentral:rRNA from 1 species
GUCGGUAAAACUCGUGCCAGCCACCGCGGUUAUACGAGAAGUCCAAAUUGACAGCCACCCGGCGUAAAGAGUGGUUAUAGGACGCCCACCCAACUAAAGCCAAAGCCCCUCCCAGCUGUCAUACGCACCUGAAGAGACGAGGCCCAACCACGAAAGUAGCUUUAACUAAUAAACCCCUAGAACCCACGACAGCCAAGACACAAACUGGGAUUAGA